rnacentral:ncRNA from 2 species
AAUAAUAACGGGAAUGAUGUUCUCCCUGUUGGAUUAAACAAACCGCAUUUUUAAUGCUAAUGACGUCUACGACUUU